AGAAGCCAGACUGAGAAAGAAAAGCAUAAAGGACACGCAACAGCAUGAUGCCUGAGCAAGGAAUGUGGAUGGAGAAGGGAAUAUUGGACAAGGUCAGGACCGCCACUUCUAGAGAAAUGUGAUACCGGGACAAGAUAUGACUAAAAAUGUCUGCAGAGCAGCAGAGAGUGCCUACCUCAAGUAGAAGUAUGAUAGUUGAACUUUAUUGUGCUCUAGAAAAAGCAAUAAACCCUUCUGCAAACUUCAUAAGAUAGCACAGUAAAAGGAACUCUACACCAAGAGGACAUUUUCCCUUCAAAAUAACAAAGCAGAACACAAAGUAAAUCAAAGCAUAUAAACGGAGAAAGGAAUUCCGUUGCCUUUGAAAUUGAACUCCAGAAAUAAUUUACUUAAAAAGAGUUCCUCAGAUAUAGCUUGAAGUCUAAAGACAAUCAUUGAUCAUCAACUGGUAUUCUCUUACUCCAUCAGCACUCCAGAUACAAAGCAAGAGAAAACCCAGAGUAAAAAAUUUAAAUGGACAAUAUUUCAUCUGCAACCUGGAAAGUCUUCUAUGCUUGCUGUUGUAUUGACUUUCCUACUUAUCUCAGAAAAUUGUGCAUUUAAUCAUCUCUCUCUAUUUUCUUUGACUCUUUUCCAGUGAGAGAGUAUAAGAUUGUUUACCUAAAGACCUCGAAGUCUAGCAAGAUAGGAAGCAAGUUGUUACUUAAGCAGGUUGGGGGGGCAUUAUGGGCACAAUGAAAAUUAAUCAUUGGUUCUCUUUGCCUAUCAAAAUACAUCGUUCACAUAGGACCCCUUUCCCCAAUAAAUUUAGAUCAUGCCUACUCUAGAAAAGGAAUCACAGCAUUGUCACUUCUUGAUGUUGUGAAGUAAUUUGUAAUGCGCAGAAAUGAUUUGAAUACAUGUCCCAACAGAGCUUUGUGAAGGAAACUCAAAGCUAUUCUGACAUAAUAGCAAAUGAUAGCAGAGAAGGGACUGAAGCACUGCAGCAAACCCAAAAUUGUUCCAAUAUUCAGCUGCUAGAACAAAAAAGAAAAGCCUCACUACUGAACCUUUUUCAUUUCGUAUAGCUGCUCAAAAUUUAGAAAACUCAUAGACCAUAAUCCAUUAAAACAGCAUCUAUUACAUCAAGUUCUAAUUGCUAAACUUGCUGGUAAAUCCUUGGGGUAAAGAGAUUGGAACUCUUCCAUUUUCAAUAAAGAUUAUUUGUAAAACUAAAAAAAAAUCCAUGAGACAAUCUGAUAGAUGUCUCAUUAUUCCUGA